rnacentral:rRNA from 1 species
GUGGGGAAUAUUGGACAAUGGGCGAAAGCCUGAUCCAGCCAUGCCGCGUGUGUGAAGAAGGUCUUCGGAUUGUAAAGCACUUUAAGUUGGGAGGAAGGGCAUUAACCUAAUACGUUAGUGUUUUGACGUUACCGACAGAAUAAGCACCGGCUAACUUCGUGCCAGCAGCCGCGGUAAUACGAAGGGUGCAAGCGUUAAUCGGAAUUACUGGGCGUAAAGCGCGCGUAUGUGGUUCGUUAAGUUGGAUGUGAAAGCCCCGGGCUCAACCUGGGAACUGCAUCCAAAACUGGAGAGCUAGAGGACGGUAGAGGGUGGUGGAAUUUCCUGUGUAGCGGUGAAAUGCGUAGAUAUAGGAAGGAACACCAGUGGCGAAGGCGACCACCUGGACUGAUACUGACACUGAGGUGCGAAAGCGUGGGGAGCAAACAGGAUUAGAUACCCGAGUAGUCC